rnacentral:rRNA from 1 species
UACGUAGGGGGCAAGCGUUGUCCGGAUUUAUUGGGCGUAAAGAGCGUGUAGGCGGCCAAGCAGGUCCGCUGUGAAAACUCGAGGCUCAACCUCGAGACGUCGGUGGAAACCGUGUGGCUAGAGUCCGGAAGAGGAGAGUGGAAUUCCCGGUGUAGCGGUGAAAUGCGCAGAUAUCGGGAAGAACACCCGUGGCGAAGGCGGCUCUCUGGGACGGUACUGACGCUGAGACGCGAAAGCGUGGGGAGCGAACAGG